rnacentral:rRNA from 1 species
UACGGAGGGUGCGAGCGUUGUCCGGAAUUACUGGGCGUAAAGGGCUCGUAGGUGGCCAACUAAGUCAGACGUGAAAUCCCUCGGCUUAACCGGGGAACUGCGUCUGAUACUGGAUGGCUUGAGUUUGGGAGAGGGACGCGGAAUUCCAGGUGUAGCGGUGAAAUGCGUAGAUAUCUGGAGGAACACCGGUGGCGAAGGCGGCGUCCUGGACCAACACUGACACUGAGGAGCGAAAGCCAGGGGAGCAAACGGG